GACGAACGCUGGCGGCGUGCCUAACACAUGCAAGUGGAGCGACGAACCAGACUUCGGUCUGGGGCCAAGCCGCGAACGGGUGAGUAACACGUGGGUAACCUGCCCCGAUGAUCGGGACAACCCGGGGAAACCCGGGCUAAUACCGACUGUGGUCCCGGCUCCCGAGAGCCGUGCCGAAAGGAAGCUUCGUGCUCCGCAUCGGGAGGGGCCCGCGGCCCAGUAGCUAGUUGGGAGGGUAACGGCUUACCAAGGCUUCGAUGGGUAGCUGGUCUGAGAGGACGAUCAGCCACACUGGGACUGAGACACGGCCCAGACUCCUACGGGGGGCAGCAGUGGGGAAUCUUGCGCAAUGCGCGAAAGCGUGACGCAGCAACGCCGCGUGCGGGAAGACGGCCUUCGGGUUGUAAACCGCUUUCAGUUGGGACGAAGCUUCGCCGGUGAACAGCCGGCUGGAGUGACGGUACCUUCACAAGAAGCCCCGGCUAACUACGUGCCAGCCGCCGCCGUAACAC
rnacentral:rRNA from 1 species